CUCUCGGCUGUGCGGUUCUAAGGAGGCUCGAGGGAUGAGGAGUGUUGCUUUGGCAUCCUCCCGGCUGCCAAUCAGAGCGCCCCACUUGUGCGGGUGUACAUGUGCGCACGGUGUGCGUGAGUGUGUGGACAGUGGGCCACGUGGAAGGGCAGGGCGGGAGGAGGAGAACCCGGAGUCUGCUCCCUGCCCUUAGAGUCCUCGGACCCCGCAGCUGGAAGCAACCUUGGUCAUCCAAUGUGACUCUAGGCCCCUUCCAGCUCUCAGAUUCUAGAACUCUGCAGAGAGCGCACACCCACCUCAUUAACAUGGAGAGGCCGAGGCCCUGCGCGGGGAGACUCGCUCCCGACAUCACAUGGCCAGUCUGUCCAGGGCAGAGCUGUGAGCCCAAAACUCUUUCCAGCAACCCCCAGGCUGUAUCCGUGGUUCCUGGAAAAUCCCGACACCCCUCCCGCCCUGCGCUCCAGACACUAGGCUCGGGGUUAGUGUUGGCCGGGGGCCCUGCCUGUCCCAGCCCAAGUCCACGAGCGAGCUCUGUGUGCACGAAGGGUGGGCGUGGGAGGGUACCUCAAGUUCUGCUGAACCCCCACCCCCGCAGGCUGGCUCUGCUCCCUGGGGGGUUGCCUCAAGGUCCCCAUGAUGUCCAGGUGCCCCAAGACCGGAUGAGCAGGUGGCCAGGUGGCCCCUGGGUCCCCAGCAGGAGGAGGACAGCAGGACAGGACUCCAUGGGAGCUGGGGAUCCGACGGGGCCCAGGCCUCGCCCCUUCCUGCCUAGAUCGCUUCCAAACAUAAGUCAACGCUGGACAGAGCUGUAGGAAAAGCUUCCUCAAAGCUGGCCCCAAAGAGCCAUGUGGUGAGACUGGGCCUCUCUGCCAGCCCCCACCCGCCCGCCCGCCCUCGGNNNNNNNNNNNNNNNNNCGCGGGGCCUGGGGCUGGGGCCCUCCGAGGGUCGGCCGGAGGCCUGCGGUCAGACACCCCCUGCUUCGCCUCUUGGUCCACCCUGCAGCCCCUUCCCUCAGACCCCUCAGACCGGCUUCCUUUCCACCUUGGCCCAAGCCGAUCCUCGAGUGCCUCUGUGACCAAGAGGGCACGCCUGAGGCAAGGGGGCAUCCCGGGACCGCCUCUGACAGUGGUCACCCGGACCCAGCG
rnacentral:lncRNA from 1 species